UACGUAGGGGGCAAGCGUUAUCCGGAUUUACUGGGUGUAAAGGGAGCGUAGACGGCGGUGCAAGCCAGAUGUGAAAGCCCGGGGCUCAACCCCGGGACUGCAUUUGGAACUGUAUGGCUGGAGUGUCGGAGAGGCAGGCGGAAUUCCUAGUGUAGCGGUGGAAUGCGUAGAUAUUAGGAGGAACAUCAGUGGCGAAGGCGACUAUCUGGACAGCAACUGACACUGAGGCACGAAAGCGUGGGGAGCAAACAGG
rnacentral:rRNA from 1 species